UUCCAUGGUGGCAAGCCACACACUUUUGUCAUCUUGCCUGCUAGAUGAUGUUGAAUUUCCUACAGAUGGAAAAGUGAUGAUGGCAAUGUGGUCACCAGUGAUAGAGCUGGGAAAAUAUAAUCCUUCCUUUAUAUGAGGUACUUUUCUACAAAGGCAGAUGAAAACUGUGUAUCCGACAGAGAAGUCAUUUGACCAACAAGAACAUUUGGAAAAGACCGACAGAUUCUCAGUAUUAAAAGUGCCAUGUAAAUGUUUCCUGAAAGACUGUGAUUGGCAGAAGCUCAACAGUUGCGUGUCCAGUCAUGCUCCCAAUGGUAUGCUACCAUUGCAAAGGGAAAAGAAAAAUACAGGGCUGGGGAGAAGACUCAACUGGUAAAGAGCUUGCCAUGCAAAACAUAAGGAACCGAGCUCAGGCUCAGUGCAACCAUGUAAAAAGCUUCACACAUAAGUAACCGAGGACGGAGUGUUUCAGAAAGAAAACAACUUGAUCUCAAGGAAGUCUGCAGUUUCAAGGAAUGAAACAAACAUCACCAUGGGAAGGGAGACUCGUCUAAACAAACACAAUCUGCUGUUUUAAAGGGAAAGGACUCAUUGGUGCAGAGAUCUCCAUCCUUAAAUAAUCUACCCAAAGCUUGUGAUGCCAGUGACAUUUUGGAGCAGCUUGCAGAUGAUGAUUCUUCUGUGAAGUAACUUUUUGUCUUGCUACUGGGCCAUUGGAUCACCAAGCUGCAGUGUGGCCUGAGCUACCCCUGACCAGUGUUUUCUGAUGCUGAAUGUCAGCAUGCAUUGCAGCCCUCCAUGCAGGUGGUGUACACAGACUUAGGCUUGAGUGUGUGGGAAGGCAACAAUAUG